CAAGGAUUUGUCCAGAGCAGACACUGAUCUCUUUCUGUGGGGCAGCUCCCCUCACCCUGUCAGCCAACAUGACCUGUCAGCUUGUCGCCGGUGGACACAGGAGCUGGUGCUGGGAUUUUGACAUCAAUGGAAAGACUUCAGCUCAAGUUGACUCAAGACGCAAAAUGUGGACAGAGGAACCUUCUGGACGCAGCUGCAUGAAAGACAACUGGGAGAAGGACAAGGAAAUGACCAGUAUCUUAUACAGGACCUCAGAGGGAGACUGUCAGAAAUGGCGUGAGGAGUUACUGAAGCACUUGAAAAGGCAGGAGGAGCCCACAGCACCUCCACCCACCACACAAAACUUGCCCCCAUCCAGCUCUGUGGUGAUCACUCCAAAUGUGUGGGUCCUGCUGCUGAUCAUCACCUGCUCCAUCCUAUGUUGUUUCUAUGGAGAGAUUCAGUGACAGGUUGACGGUGCUGGAGAGAAGCUCCUGAAAAGGUGAUCAAGUAAAAUUCAUCUCCUGAGUGGUCAUCUGCCAGUCCACCAUCCGCUGUCCAUUCCGAGGCUCCGGCAAGCCAUUGAGACUGGAGCUGGGCUGCCUGGUUCUCCUCUGCUUUCCCACAUGAA
rnacentral:lncRNA from 1 species